GCAAAGGUUUUUUUAGAUACUACACCAAAAACAAAAACCACACACACAAAAAAAAUAGAUGAGU
rfam:Ailuropoda melanoleuca scaffold74_20, whole genome shotgun sequence.